AGAGGGGAAGUUAAUGUUUUGAAAAUUGGCCGGCUUGUUUUGGGGGGCUGGUGGUGGCUUCUCAACUGAUCCAAAAUGAAUCUACAGGAAGAGCUUUUCUCUUAAGCUGAGAUGCUGCCUUCUCUUCUCUCAGCAGAAAGAUUUACAGUCAAGGUACCUGUUAUAAGUGAUAAAACUGCUCCUUUCCCCUCAUGGAGUACCCAAGAGCCCAUAUGGAGUCCUUUUGUAGGUUCUCUAUCAGUAGGAAAAAAUAACAGAGACCAACCAGAGAAUAUUGAGAAGCAAAGCAGCUAGUAAGCCUGAUCUUUAUUAACUGUUGCAACAGGGUGCUCCCCCACAUGCAGGAGAGAGGAGGAGGACCCAGAACAAAGGUGUGCCCGCCCUUAUAUAGACUUUUGGAAUUGCCCACCCUCAAACAAUCCCCAGAAACAUUAUACAUACAUCACAGAAGGGGUGUAGUAGCCCAGGACCACCUCCCCCAAUACAACAUACCUACAUCACAGAAAAGGCGGUCUACAACAGAAAUCUGAGUGUGUUGUUUAUCUCCUGUCUGGCAAGUUAUCUGAUUGCAUUAUCUGGGUUUUGGCCACUCUUUUGUUAUUAUAACUACUUAAUUCCUGAAUCUAGGUCACAGGUCACAGGCUCACCCUGUUUAUAUCUUGAAUGUGCCCUUAAGACAGGAUUUGUGAGGACAAGAUUAGUGAGGAAAGAGACAACGGGGACGUUUCCGACUUUGACCUUGCAGAGAAAUAUUUGAGGUCAAUUUGUUCAGGACCUUGUCUAUGGGGUUUCAGAUAUGUGGUUUAUAUAUACAGUUAUGAACAUUUAAAAAAAAUAAUAUGACCUUAAAAUUCUGAUAACAGUACCUGAGGGUGAUAACCAGCUGAUAAUACAUGCUAUCUCCCCAGUGUUGGAUUACCCAGUAGACAGACUAAGCACCUAUUUAGGACACCAGCAAAACAGGUGUACAAAUUCCUUUAAUAAAUAAAUAGAUGACAUUUGAUAUGUUUUUUAGAAGCAUUAUUUACGUGGGUGGGUGGCCAAUUUAAUUAAAAAAAUAUAUCUGAGAAACAAAUUUUCUGACAUGCUAGACUUGUACAAAAGAAUGGGUUAUUUAAAAAAAAAAAUAAUGUAUGUGUCAUGACUAGACCCACCUGUAAUCCAUCAAGGAGUAUCUCCCAUAUGGAAGUAGAAGGUGUGGUGAUAGACGACACCCAGGAAAACAUCACCACACACAGGGGGGAGGGGAAAGGCCCACACAAUACACUUCAGUACAUCCACAGCUGGGUAACAUGAUUUUAUGUUGUAUUCCCUUCUCUCCUUAACACACUAUUGGCAAAAUCAAAAUUAAAUGGAGGGGGGCAGAAUGUGGGCUGCCACUUGGCUCUGGAAUGGAUAAUGGGAAAAACAGGCAUGUGCCAAGAAGUUGAGGGAAAGGUCUCGUGAUUGACACAAGGGACCAGCUAAGCAGCAUUGUGCAAAUCCAGCCUCUGCUGAGACCCAUAAUAACAAGCUUUACUCUUAGCUUGAUUUUAGGGAGCAGGUUGUUCACAUGCUCAGAAUGCUGUGAGUGCACUUAUAUAGUGGGCUCACCUCACUCAAAUUACAUUCCUUCAUUCAUGUUCUGUGCUGCUCUGAUAAGCUUAAAGGUAAAGGUAAAGGGACCCUUAACUAUUAGGUCCAGUCAUGGAUGACUCUGGGGUUGUGGCGCUCAUCUCGCUUUACUAGCUGAGGGAGCCGGUGUACAGCUUCCAGGCCAUGUGGCCAGCAUGACUAAGCCGCUUCUGAACCAGAGCAGCACACGGAAACGCCGUUUACCUUCCCGCUGGAGCGGUACCUAUUUAUCUACUUGUACUUUGACGUGCUUUCGAACUGCUAGGCUGGCUUAGGAGGAGCAAUUUUCAGAAUGUGAAUAGGGAAGGUAAAAAUCAGAUGCAGCUCUACCACGUAUGAUACCAAAUCUGUCAAAUAAUGAAUAAAUGUAGUAGAAAAUACCAACAUCUUGCCCCAGACAUUUGCAAUAAAUGAUAAGUGUAUUACGAACAGGAGUACCGUAUUUUUCGCCCCAUAGGACGCACCGCCCCAUAGGACGCACCUAGUUUUUUUGGGGGGGGUAAUAAAGGGAAAAAAAUUAUUUCCCCCCCCCCAGGCGCCCCAAGCCUUGCGCACCCGGCGGGACCUCCUGCAGGGUGUGCGAGGCUUGCAGACAUCUGCCCGAAGCAGGGGGCGGGCUCCGCAGCUGGCUCCCUGCUUCAGGCUGCAGGCUGCCGCCCCAAGCCUUGCGCGCCCGGCGGGACCUCCCGCCGGGCACGCGAGGGUUGCGGAUAGCUUCCUGAAGCCUAGAGAGCAAGAGGGGUCGGUGCGCACUGACACCUCUCGCUCUCCAGGCUUCAGCGAAAGCCUGCAUUCGCCCCAUAGGAUGCACACACAUUUCCCCUUCAUUUUUGGAGGGGAAAAAGUGCGUCCUAUAGGGCGAAAAAUACGGUAAUUUUCUCCACAGAAGCACUCAACAGGCCUGUAACAAAUUCAGUAACUCAGAAUUGCUUGUAUAAUGUGCUCAUUCACUCACCCACAGUCAUGCAAAUGUUCCUUGAAUGCAGAUGUUAAGAGAUGUUGUAAUGUUCUGAUAAAGCAUAAGUAGAACCUUUUAAGUAGAAAGGGUCAUGUAUUAUCUGGUCAAACCAUUUACCAUAAGGAAAGGACUCCCAACUUCUGACAACCUGUUUAUUGAGCAUUCAUCUUGAUUUUCUGGCACAAAACAUGCGGUGGGGGCUGGUUUCGCCAACCCUUAAGUUUGCCUCUGCCUUCUUCGGCAAUCUCUCGUAGCCGAGUAAGAUUGUCUUCCAUAAACACGGUUUUAACAGUGAGUCCGUAAGUGACUGUGGAGGCCAAUUCUGGAUCCACACGUCCUUCCACAGUGUGGACAUUGGUUUCCGAGCGGGAGUUGAUCACGGUGUGGAUUUGCCAAGUGUGCCUUCCUCUUAGCAUGUUUCUCCCUUGCAUCCUUAGUUCGAGUGUCUUCAAAGCCCAUGAAACCUUUGGUAAAGGCUGUUCUCCAAGUAUGGAAGGAUCUGUCAUUUUCAGUUCUCUCAGCGUCUCAUUUUUCUAAUCUUAAAUUCAGUUCUCCAUAUUUGUGGAUUUGUUUUUUUAAGUCCUCAUGAAAAUGUUUCAGUAUUUUAGUGCGAAUCUCUCCUAAAAACACACGCACAUCUGUACCUGCAAUUUUCACAUUUUUGAACACAACUUAAUAUAAAGCAUUUUCGUAUGCUAUUUUCACAAAUAUAUUUUAAAAUGCAUUUCCUCCUAAUAUAUGCAUUUUUAUAAACACUGCUUGGUUGUUAAAGUGCAUCACAGAAUUUGGAUAAGUGCUAAUUUUGAAGGAUGGCUGUGUUUUGGUUCUCAUACUGUUCUGGAAAGUGCAAAUCUGAUAAAAUUGGCUUGAAAAUGUAAACAGAACCAAAUUUGUCCCCCAUCCCUGGCUGAGACUGAUGGGAGUUGGAGUCCAACAGCAAAUGGGGGUGGGUUGUUGUUUUUUUACAGUUUUCUCAUCUUGCUCGAUAUAGAGUCAUGAUAGUUUUGUCCCUGGAUGUUGAAUGUCCAGAGGUAUUCCAUUAUAGUAUGCCAGUAAAUAUGUGUGUGCAUUAAAAAAUGGAUAUGCUUUUGGGUUGGGGCUGUGUGCAUCUGUGUUAUGCGCAGAACCAAAUGUACACACCCAUGAAUGCAAUGCAUUAAAAAUGCACCCACUUAGCACACUUGCCAAGAGGAAAUGCACCAAAGCAUUGGCUUGCUCCCUUAAGCAGGUUGCCUCUCUCAGUUGGGAGCAAUUGCUGUGAACUCUGUUUCUUACAUCUGCACACCUGCUUCCUUACAGUGAGAACAUCUGUGGAGGGGAGAAGCUGGCACAUCCAACAGAAAGGACAUGAGGCAACAGUCAGUGACAGAGAAGAGCAGGUUGGGAAAGGGUCUCCACUUCUAUACAAGCUUCUAGGGGAAAGCCAGGCUCAUAGAGAGCACCCUAGACUGAAUUUCAAAGCCAAGGAAUUCCAGCUCAAUCAAGAGAAAGUGCCCAAGAUGGCUGUAAGUAACUUCCAUCCAUUGACUCGCAGUGUGGCAGCUCAGCACGCCAUCUUACGCAACACACAACAC
rnacentral:lncRNA from 1 species